rnacentral:rRNA from 1 species
AUUGGAUCCAGACUUUGAUCCUGGCUCAGGAUGAACGCUAGCUACAGGCUUAACACAUGCAAGUCGAGGGGCAGCAUGGACCCAGCUUUGCUGGGUUUGAUGGCGACCGGCGCACGGGUGAGUAACGCGUAUCCAACCUGCCCUUUACUCCGGGAUAGUCUCCUGAAAGGGAGUUUAAUACCGGAUGUGUUUGUCUUUCCGCAUGGGAGCGACAAAUAAAGAUUGAUUGGUAAAGGAUGGGGAUGCGUCCCAUUAGCUUGUUGGCGGGGUAACGGCCCACCAAGGCGACGAUGGGUAGGGGUUCUGAGAGGAAGGUCCCCCACAUUGGAACUGAGACACGGUCCAAACUCCUACGGGAGGCAGCAGUGAGGAAUAUUGGUCAAUGGGCGGGAGCCUGAACCAGCCAAGUAGCGUGAAGGACGACGGCCCUACGGGUUGUAAACUUCUUUUAUAAGGGAAUAAAGUUCGCCACGUGUGGUGUUUUGUAUGUACCUUAUGAAUAAGCAUCGGCUAAUUCCGUGCCAGCAGCCGCGGUAAUACGGAAGAUGCGAGCGUUAUCCGGAUUUAUUGGGUUUAAAGGGAGCGUAGGCGGGCUUUUAAGUCAGCGGUCAAAUGUCACGGCUCAACCGUGGCCAGCCGUUGAAACUGCAAGCCUUGAGUCUGCACAGGGCACAUGGAAUUCGUGGUGUAGCGGUGAAAUGCUUAGAUAUCACGAAGAACUCCGAUCGCGAAGGCAUUGUGCCGGGGCAUAACUGACGCUGAGGCUCGAAAGUGCGGGUAUCAAACAGGAUUAGAUACCCUGGUAGUCCGCACGGUAAACGAUGAAUGCUCGCUAUGGGCGAUAUAUUGUCCGUGGCCAAGCGAAAGCGUUAAGCAUUCCACCUGGGGAGUACGCCGGCAACGGUGCAACUCAAAGGAAUUG